GUUGGGAUUACAGGUGUGAGCCACCAUGCUCAGUCAGCUUAGUUACUUUAAAGAUUAGGCAGCUGAGCCCAGAAACUAGCUGCUGGGAACAAAGCUAAGAUUGAACUCAGAUCUCCUGGUUCCUGGUUCUUAGUUUCAUACUGGCUGUGAAGGCCUCUGGGAAGAAUGUGUUACAUUGUUGGUCUCCAGGUUUGAUUUGUCCUGGUCCCUCUCUGGCUAAUUAGGGUGAGAGCCGCCAUCCUUCCUUCCCUGAGCUGCAUGCUUGAUUCAAGAGAAAAAUCUUUCUUUUGUCAUACAUGACACUGGCAUGUUUCUUUAGUGAUGAUAAAGGCGACAUGAUCAGUGGCAUGAAAUAAAGGUUUUGGAGUAUAUAAACCAUUUUUACAGCGGCUACAAAUUUUAGAAUGUGUGACUGCUAUUAUGUAUGAUGGUAAUCUUUUCAUAUGAUUGUAUUGGGCAAGUAUGUCUCAUUUCUAGGAUUUUUAUCUGUUUUGUUUGUCUUUUAUGGCAUAUGUGUACUUAGAAGUAAAUAUAGUUGGUACUAUAUAUAAUAUGUACAAUACAAUAAAAAAUAAUUUCAUUGUCCUUAUUUUGUUCUCACUGGACCUGUUGAGGUGGGAGAAUCGCUUGAACCUGGGAAGCGGAGGCUGCAGUGAGCUGAGAUUGCACCUCCAGUCUGGGCGACUUUGAGACCGUGUCUCGAAAA
rnacentral:lncRNA from 1 species